GUCAGAGGAAAGUUGAAAAGUUACUUCCUACAUUUUCACCCCCACCCUCCACCACCGCCACAUCCCCAAGAGGAAAACCGCUCAGAGUUGUGUCUCAAAUAUAUGUCACCUUGUGUACUUGUGGGAUCGGGCGCCCCCCAGAUGCAGGUACGUAUCACUACACUUAUUUUUCCAGGGCAAACCUGAUCCAAAGUAUGUUAUGAAGUAUGUCGUGAAUUUCAUUUCAUCUCAUUUACAUGCAGCGUGAUAUGACUUACUGGCAUUUCUUGCACAAACAGAUAUUACAAAUAACAUCCAUAUGCUUUCCAGAAUGCAUUUCUACCAUUUUAAACAAAGCUUGAUAACAAAUUAAAAGAUACGACCUUUUUUUUUUUUUUUAACUUAAAUGGUAAUCACUAGGUGGGGCAUCUGGUAAAGUGUCAGUUCUGGGGACCCGGGUUCGAUCCCAGCCCCCCCUCUGUGCAGUUUGCAUGUUCUCCCUGUGCCUGCGUGGGUUUUCUCCGGGCACUCCGGUUUCCUCCCACAUCCCAAAAACACGCAACAUGAAUUGGACACUCUAAAUUGCCCGUAGGUGUGACUGUGAGUGCAGCUGUUUUUCUCCAUGUGCCCUGUGAUUGGCUGGCAACCGGUUCAGGGUCUACUCCACCUCCUGCCCGUUGACAGCUGGGAUAUUCUCCGGCACUUCCUGCGACCCUUGUGAGGAUAAGCGGCAAAGAAAAUGGAUGGAUGGUCAAAAGGUAUCCAGGGCAAGGUUACCUGAGCCCGCACCGCCAUGAUGUCACUUGUCGCCCGGACGCUCCCGCGGCAGAAACGAGGCAGCUGCGUCUUUUGUCGUCGUUUCCCGGCUGCGGGUAGAUGUGUCACCUGUGAGGGGUGCUGACAACACCUGCGAAGUUCUCGCCUUCACGCCCCGGCCGGUGACACCCCUUCAGGAUGGAUCGCAUUAUGACGGGAAAACACAAAUAAGGUCGUGAUGAUCGCAACGUAAAAGGAAAUCGAACUGAUGUUCACCAUCGGGAAGGUUGGGGUGGGGCUUUGGGAGGUGGGAAAUAUUUGUCGCUCCCAAGGACCAAAAAAGCCAAUAGCUGCUGUGGCUUAAUAAAGUUUAAAAAAAAUCCUUGAUUUUUUUUUUUACCUACUGUCGAUUUCAAGUAUACAAUGAUCCAUUUGUGUUUUUGGAAUGUGGAAAGAAGUACCAGGAGAAAAUACACGGAAGAGGCAAACUUCACACAAAAAGGCCAGGGGUCAGAUUCAAACUCCUAAAUUCAGAAAUGUGCGGCAGACAUGCAAACCAGCAGGCCACCGUGCUGACUGUACUUGUUUUAUUAGGUUUUUUUUUUUUUUUUAUGUCCAGUGCAGUAUAUCCAUCCAUUUUCUUAGGCGCUUAUCCUCACAAGGGUCGCGGGGAAUGCUGGAGCCUAUCCCAGCUGUCAAUGGGCAGGAGGCAGGGUACACCCAGAACCGGUCGCCAGCCAAUCGCAGGGCACAUCGAGACAAACAACUGCACUCACAAUCACACCUACGGGCAAUUUAGAGUGUCCAAUUAGUGUUGCAUGUUUUUGGAAUGUGGGAGGAAACCGGAGGGCCCAGAGAAAACCCACGCACUCACUGGGAGAACAUGGGAACUCCACACAGGCGGGGCCAGGGUUGA